ensembl:lncRNA
GUGUGUGUGUGUGUGUGUGUGUAUCACUUUGUGAUAUGUUAGCAGGGGAGUUAAUUUGUCUCGGUUUUUUUUUUUUUUUUUUUUAAAUAAUGAGCUUAUCUACUUGUUUACAAAACUAUGAAUGACCACUCUAAUAGCUCCCAUACCUGACCCUGCUUCCCCUUGCCUCUGGAACUCCCUGAAAGAGCUCUGGGAAGGCAGUUGUUUGCACUGCUACCCUUCCUAUUACACCUGAAUCUAUUCCAACACCAUCCAUCUCCAUGUCUAUAAUGCUUCUCCCAAUGAGAGCCACUAGCAACAUUCAUGCUGCCAAAUCCAAGGAAAAGUUUUCAGCUUUUAUUAUUCUCAAUUCUUCAACAGACUGUGACAUAGUUGCUCACUUCUUGAAAACAUAUUCCUCACUCCCCAUCCUAUUUCUUCUAAAUGCUUUGGCAACUGCCUUUCAGUUUCUAGUUCUAGAUACACCACUUUUGGCUAACUCUAAAUGUUGGUGAAUCCAGGCUUCUGGGAUCUCUUUUCCUUUAUUUCUGCACUCACUCUGUUGGUACAUGCAUACCAACCUCUGGGCUUGAACACCAUCUAUAUGCUGACAUUUCCCAAGUUUAUGACUUUUCCUGACCUCUCUCCUAUGCCAGUUUAUAGGGAUAUUCUUAAAUGGAUACUUAAAUAGAAACCUGAAAUUUUUUGUUGUUGUUCAGUCACUAAGUAGUGUCUGACUCUUUGCAACCCCAUGGACUGCAGCACACCAGGCUUCUCUGUCCUUCACUAUCUAUCUCCAAGAGCUUGCUCAGAUUCAUAUCCGUUGAGUCAGAGAUGCUACCUAGCCAUCUCAUCCUCUGCUGCCCCCUUCUUUUGCCUUCAAUCUUUCCCAUCAGGGGUCUUUUCCAAUGAGUCAGCUCUUUGCAUCAGGUGGCCAAAGUAUUGAAACUUCAGCAUCAGUCCUUCCAAUGAGUAUUCAGGGUUGAUUUCCUUUAGGACUGACUGGUUUGAUCUCUUUGAAGUCCAGGGGAUUCUCAAGAGUCUUUUCCAGCACCACAGUUUGAAAGUCUCAAUUCUUCAAUGCUCAACCUAAAAAAAUGACAUGUCAAAACUGAUCUUCAUUUCUA